rnacentral:lncRNA from 1 species
GGCCGAGGCAAGUGAAUCACAAGGUCAGGAGUUCAAGACUAGCCUGGCCAAGAUGGUGAGCCCCUGUCUCUACUAAACUACAAAAAUUAGCUGGGCGUGGUGGCAGGCGCCUGUAAUCCCAGAUACUCAGGAGGCUGAGGCAGGAGAAUUGCUUGAACCCAGGUGUCGGAGAGUGCAGUGAGCCGAGAUUGUGCCACUGCACUCCAGCCUGGGUGACAGAGUGAGACUCCAUCUUAAAAAAAAAAAAAAUGCUGAGGCCCUAGAGCCACACGGAGACCGGGUCCAAAUCUCCUGCCACCACUCAAGCUGCGUGUCCCUGGCUUCUUGCUUUUUGCAGCUGACCAAGCCCUCUAAUCUGCAACUGGGAUAAUACAGCGCCUGCCUCCAGGAGGAACAGUAAGGAGUGGAUGGGAUGAAGCCCUCCACCCUGGCCACAGGUGGUGUCUGUGGGUGGCAGAGCUGAGAUUCCCCCACCUUGGACCCCAGUGCCGACACUUGCCAUUGUACCAUGCCACCUCCCUGCCCCCUGAGACUGGGCCUGAGGAAGCCACAGCCCCUCCCAUGUGCCCUGGCCCCUCUGGGCUCCCAUGGAGGAUGGUGCUGCUGGGUCACCUGCUUUGGGCUCUGCCCUCAGACUCCCUUCACCCCAAGGUGUGCCAUCCUCUCCAUUCCACCAAGGCCUGUCCAGGCCUCGCUUGCUUAAUCCAUAGUCUUCAGAGCCACCUGUCAUUAGGCAGGGCAAGUGGGAGCCGCUUCAUGGUGAUCUUGGAGACAGAUUUUCACCAUCAACCACUCCCCAUCAGCUCAGCUCUGAGAAGGUACAAGGUGUUUUCGUUUUGUAUAAUUACUAUUGUGGGCCAAGUGUGGUGGUUCAUGCCUGUAAUCUGAGCACUUUGGGAGGCUGAGGCAGGGGAUCACUUGAGGUCAGGAGUUUGAGACUAGCCGGGCCAACAUGGCAAAACUCCAUCUCUACUAAAAAUACAAAAAUUAGCUGUAAAUGGUGGUGGGCACCUGUAGUUCCAGCUACUUUGGAAGCUGAGACAGAAGAAUUGAUUGAACCUGGGAGUUGGAGGUUGCAGUGAGCCAAGAUUGUGCCAUUGCAUUCCAGCUUGGGUGACAGAGUAAGACUCUAUCUUAAAAAUAAAAUAAAAUUUAUUUAUUUUUAUUUAUUUUUUUUUUGCUUUAAAAAUUCUUUAAUUUGAUACAGUCAAGACUUCAUAUAUAACUUCUAGUUUACAGGAAAUACAGGUGAUAUACAGGUUAUACACUGGAGAAAUACAGGGAAAUACAACACGAAGAAAAAAAUCAGAUAAACCCAGAAGAAGAGUUCUAAAGAAAAAUUGACCU